rnacentral:rRNA from 1 species
GUGUUGCAUGGCUGUCGUCAGCUCGUGUCGUGAGAUGUUGGGUUAAGUCCCGCAACGAGCGCAACCCUCAUCCUUAGUUACCAUCAGGUAAUGCUGGGGACUUUAAGGAAACUGCCAGUGAUAAACUGGAGGAAGGUGGGGAUGAUGUCAAGUCAUCAUGGCCCUUAUGGAGUGGGCUACACACGUGCUACAAUGGUGGCUACAAUGGGCUGCAAAGUCGCGAGGCUAAGCUAAUCCCUUAAAAGCCAUCUCAGUUCGGAUUGUACUCUGCAACUCGAGUGCAUGAAGUUGGAAUCGCUAGUAAUCGUGGAUCAGCACGCCACGGUGAAUACGUUCUCGGGUCUUGUACACACUGCCCGUCACGCCAUGGGAAUUGGUU